CCCCUGGUGGCUUAGAGGAUAAAGCGUCCGCCCAUAAUGCGGGAGACCCAGGUUCGAUCCCUGGGUAGGGAA
rfam:TPA: Bos taurus chromosome 8, whole genome shotgun sequence.